UGCACUUUUGCAAAUUGGCUUAAACGCUCAACAAUCUAGCUGUGUGCAUUUGCCCUGCAUGUGUGCACAAGAAUGUGUGUUGAUCAGCUGCAAUUGCAACAGGUUGUAAUCAAUAUUUGCACAACAAUAAAUUGGAAUAUGUCUCGGAAGCUUUGUUUACUUCGCAGGUUUAUAUUCUUUGGUUUGUAAUUUGCCGCCAAUACUAUCAACGUGUUGGAGCGUAUGUACAAAUAUGGCUGUGGACGGUUGCAAUUGCAGUUUUGCAUUGUUGGGGGUCGGCAAUGCACGAUUUUUUGAUAUGCGAACAUUUAUAUACAUACACACAUACAUAUACAUACAUAUAUGUAUGUGUAUCAAAUGCACAAAGAAGACAGUGUACAUCGCGUGCCGUGUACUGUUUAUGGUUUUGAAAUAGCGGUUGCAUCCUGUCAUGGUUAAUUGGAGAAAGGGGUGGUCAUCUGCUAAUAAGUUUCGCUGAUUGGUUCUUAUCGAUAUUACAUAGUGUUUGGCAAUUAAUUAAUUUACGCAGCUCCAGGAAUGGUGAUAAAAUUAAUUUAUGUAGAUAUGCAGAAAUAUAAUUAUUUAUAUGUAUGUAUAUCCAA